AAUCUUGGUUUUCUCCGAGCCUGAUGACCUAAACAUUUAACCAUGCAUGGUCAUCAGGCCGGUCACUUGAAUAGUGACCCAGGUUGGUGGCAGAAAAGCCCCAGCCUCCCGAACUCCGUUUAGUGGAGUUAACUUGGAAAGGAGAUGUCCCUACCAGAGAAU
rnacentral:ncRNA from 2 species